rnacentral:misc_RNA from 1 species
UGAUGAGCGGCAACAAUGGCUAGCAAUGGUGAGUAAUUGCAGUGGAGUGCAUACAUGGCAGAUUGUCAUUUCAGUGCUUUGAUGUUGGAUGUUCUAAUAUUUCAUUACUGUUGUCAUUUCAUGUCUUCUGGUUGUUCAUUUGCUAACUAGAGAGGUUCUGACACCAUCGUUUAAGUCCCCAUUACAUGUAAUCAUUUGGUGGUUUAGUACCUUUUUGGCUCCUGAAACUUGAU